CUAGACCUGAAAAUGUUUGGGAGAGCAAAUCACGUGUCAGUUGAGGAGACAAAUAUUUCUGAAGCCAAAAUGGAGUCACGUAAGACUGACGACACUGAUGCAGUUCCCAGUGUCAAAAGCAAAGUCAAAGCACGUCACAGCAGCCGAUCUGGAGCUACGUCACUGGACAAACUGGACACUAAAAGUGAUGAGGUGACUGACGUAUCUAGUGACGACACCGAUCCAGUUCCCAGUGUCAAAAGCAAAGUCAAAGCACGUCACAGCAGCCGAUCUGGAGCUACGUCACUGGACAAACUGGUAAAUUCAUACUCAAUGGUGCGUCAGAGACUUUGGGAGACCCUCGCAAGGUGAUGUUGGUGAACUCACUUUGCUGCAGAAAACGUUUCUUCA
rnacentral:lncRNA from 1 species